ACAUCAAGAACCUAAUAAUUUCAUGAGCGCCAGCCAUGAAAGCGCUUCCGAAAGGAACGCAAACAUGCCUUAUUGUGCCUUGGAUCCAUCGAAAAGGACAAUGGCUGCUGAUACCUAUGAUGCCGUUCACGGCUAUUACGAACUUUCAGACGUGCAGGACGCCAGACGUUGACUCUUCGCUUCUGCAAUUGACAUCUUAAUCGCUGUCAUCAAUGUCGUUUCUUAAUAUCGAUCGACCAAUCAGCGUUCGAUUAAUCGGUUGAGCCCACUGCUAACGACAUGUCCGUCGUCAUUGGUUCACAUUUUUUUGAAUGAGUUUCGUUUAUUUUCCUCAAAAAAAGUCAAUACAAAACGAGUAAACAUUGCCUAAUGGCUUUAUGUUACUAAACACUGAGAGUCCAGAAUGAUAAGUCAAAGGCGUUUGAUUCGGAAAUUUUCCAAAGCCAAAUCGUUAUUUUGACAAGCGCGAGUGGCAGAUUCAAUAUUUAGAAUUACACGUUAAAAAAAAACCGUUAUAGAACAUUAAUUUAUUUUAAAGAAAAUACCCAAUUUAUUUUUAGUUAAAACAGGGGGGGGGUUGACGGGGCUCUCUCUGCGUAACUCCCUGUACCUACGGAACCCAGUCGGCGUCGAUAAUCGUGUUUAUCUUACCAAAAUCCAAGUUAUAAAACGCAAGUUCGUGUCAGAUACACGUAAAAACAAUGUUUUGUUAAUAUUUUUGUAAAUAGCAUCGAUAAACACCAUUAUGGAAGUUUUAUUUAUAUCUAAUACAAGCAUACCAUGUAGUUGCAUGUGGGGAUGUCGGUACCCGCGCAGCGUCUUAGAGAGUGUUUUACUUACCGAAAUACCUAUCAUAGAUGCCUAAUGUUAUUUAUUUUUUUAAUAAAAGUGUUUGCAUUUUCAAACGAAUCGACGAUACAAAACCAUUUUACCAUUGUUAGAAGGGAUGAACAUUUGAUCAUCACAAACAUCCAGAAUACCGCGUAAUCCAUAAGCAUAGGUGCACGUUGGUGUUAGCUUUUGUAUGUUUUCUGACAGCUACAUCGCGAUAUUAAGAGGGCGGAGUGAUCGUUUUACAGGCGAGGUUUAAAUUGAAUUUUCAUACUUUAGAUGAUUCGAAGUUUGAAAUUUCGUACCUCAAAGUACUUAUCAUAGCCGUCAAGUGCGUUCGUCCAACGUUAAGGACAGUGGGUGAUUUCAAAAACUAUUAUUCUGGCGCAGUGUUGACGUCAUCAUAAAGUAAAGAUGUUUCAAAUUACCCCCAUACAAUUAGACAUGCGAUAGUGCAUGUCCGAUUACAACAUACAUAGAUAGUUUUAUUGUAUCAUCAUAUUUGUAUGCAGUGAACGACGAAAACAUUGGUCGUAAAUUGUUACCGUCUUAAUGUGUGUCUAUGUAUUGUGACUAUUUUGUACUAACUUUAAAUACACCACAUGUUUGUUGUGUUCCAUUUUAUAUUGAAAUUCACCCGUUGCAUUAAUUUGCAAUUUUAUCGUGACUAAAGACUAAAAACUUA